rnacentral:tRNA from 1 species
GGGGUCGUGGCCUAGUCCGGAAUGGCGACGGGCUCCAGCGGUCUUUGCGUGUGAUGAACAAUGGGUCUGCUGAUGAUGAUGAUGACCCGUUGGAGCACUGAUGCGAGUCAUGCUCCCCGCGCAUGUUCGGAGAGACCCGUCGAUCGUGAGUUCAAAUCUCACCGACCCCA